rnacentral:rRNA from 1 species
UACGAAGGGGGCUAGCGUUGCUCGGAAUCACUGGGCGUAAAGCGCACGUAGGCGGCUUUCUAAGUCAGGGGUGAAAUCCUGGAGCUCAACUCCAGAACUGCCUUUGAUACUGGAGAGCUUGAGUCCGGGAGAGGUGAGUGGAACUCCGAGUGUAGAGGUGAAAUUCGUAGAUAUUCGGAAGGAACACCAGUGGCGAAGGCGGCUCACUGGUCCGGUACUGACGCUGAGGUGCGAAAGCGUGGGGGAGCAAACAGGGAUUAGAAACCCUUGGU